GACGAACGCUGGCGGCGUGCUUAACACAUGCAAGUCGAACGGUGAAGCGCCUUCCUUUUUGGUGGGUGUGGAUGAGUGGCCAACGGGUGAGUAACACGUGAGUAACCUGCCCCCUUCUUCUGGAUAACCGCAUUAAAGUGUGGCUAAUACGGGAUAUUCUCUGUCUGUCGCAUGAUGGGUCUGGGAAAGAUUUUGUUUCUGUGGGGGAUGGUCUCGCGGCCUAUCAGGUUGUUGGUGGGGUGAUGGCCUACCAAGGCGGUGCCGGGUAGCCGGCCUGGGAGGUUGGACGAAACAACAGGGACGGCGAGGCGGCGCAGACUCCUGAGGGAAGCAGCAGUGGAUAAUAGAGCACAAUGGGAGCAAGCCUGAUGCAGUGACGCCGAGUGAGAGAAGGAGGCCGUGGGGUUGUGAACCUCUGUCGCGAGAGAAGAAGGCCUGCAUCGUUUGUGGGUGGGUUGACGGUAGCUAGAUAAGAAGCGCCGGCUAACUACGUG
rnacentral:rRNA from 1 species